rnacentral:snRNA from 1 species
GGAUGUGAGGGCGAUCUGGCUGCGACAUCUGUCACCCCAUUGAUGGCCAGGGUUGAUUCGGCUGAUCUGGCUGGCUAGGCGGGUGUCCCCUUCCUCCCUCACCGCUCCAAGUGCGUCCCUCCCGAAGCUGCGCGCUCGGUCGAAGAGGACGACCAUCCCCGAUAGAGGAGGACCGUUCUUCGGUCAAGGGUAUACGAGUAGCUGCGCUCCCCUGCUAGAACCUCCAAACAAGCUCUCAAAAAAUCAAGAAUUAAGAAAUUAAAAAGUAAAGAGACAGAGGCAAGAAAAUACAAAUGUCCAAGCAACUAUGGUCAUGCUACUUAUAGCAGGGUAUUUGUUGUU